AGUGACGGUGAGCCUUUUGAAGCUCGAAAAGGCGGGUAUCUCCGUCCACGCUAAGUUUGUGAAGUGUAGUGGGCCCUUCAAGUUUUGGGAAAAGUUUUAAUAAAGGUCUGAGGGCGCUGUGCUUUCACCAUGCACGUGGAAUGUCGUUUAGACACCUACUGUUUUGGAAAACAUGUGGUUUGUGAAGAGAAAGAAUGAAAGUGUGGGGGAUGAAGAACCUUUGAUUUCUGAGUGGCCGCAUGAUCACCUAUAUAAUCGAGUAGCAGCUAUGCUGUGUUCAGUUACUAAAGGUGAGGCCAUAGUGAGAAGGCAGCCAUUGGCAGUCCAGGAAGAGUGCUCUCACCAGAAACCAAAUUGGCUAGCACCUUGAUCUUGGACUUCGCAGCCUCCAGAACUGUGAGAAAUAACUUUCUGUUGUUUAAGCCAUUCAGUCUAUGGUAUUUUGUUUUGGCAGCUCGAUCUAACUGAGACAGUUGGUUAAAUCUAAACAGAGACUUGGUAGGAUUUGUAAGUGCAAUGCAAACAAGCACCAGUAGGCAGCAGAGCCAGUUAGCAAGCCCAAGAGAGAAGAAAUAUCCCUGGUAGUGGUGGUGGUCCCAUCCAGGCACACUGCUUGCUGUACCAGUUGUUGUGGUUAUCUCUUCAACCAAUAUGAACCUUUACCCAAAUUUAUUUGUUUAUUUGUUUGUUUGUUUAGGCUGUAGCAUGCAGCAACCUGAUGUGAGAUUUCAGUUUCCAGACCAGGAAUUAAACACAGGCCACAGUGGUGAAACACUGAGUCCUAACCACUAGACCACCUAGGAACUCCUAAAUUUAAUUCUCAUGUUGAGACUGAUGUUGCAGACAUGACCCAAGAACAUGUGAAUAAGUUUAUUACUCAUAUAAUGAGGCUUUCUGAGGAGGGUAGGGCAGGCUCCCAAAGUGACCUAAAAAAUGUUCUGAAAGAGCAGAGAAAAAAGACUGGCUAGAUUUUUAUUAUAAGUAAGAGGUGGGACCGCAUAAUUUGAACUUCUUGCCAAUGCCAAAGAAGAGAGCACCAAGGCUUUCUUAUCACCUUAUACAGAUGUGGCCCUUGAAAGCUGUCAGCAGCAUCAAAAAUGGACAAAGCUCUUUAUUACAGAUGUUUUAACCGUCUAAUUCAUACUUCUUUACCUUUUUUGUCUCCAGGUUUGAAUUUGUUUUUAUUUCUCUUGCUUGGGAUCCAUAGAUUCCCAGAUGUGUAUAUCUGAUAUUUCAUCAGUUCAGGAACAUCUCAGAUAUUAUCUCUUCCACUAUUGCUGCUGCCUCAUUCUCUCCUCUUAUUCUGAAACUCAGAAUCAUCGUGUAUUAGCCUCUACCUGUCUUCUACCCUCUCUUCCACAUUUUUAAUCAUGCUAUCCAGGCAUUGUCCAUACUAUUUCAUGACCACUAUUCAAAUUCAGUUAUAUCCAUUUUCUUAUAUUAAUUGAUUAUUUAAAAAUAUCAUUUCCAUUUGCAUAAAUUUUAAUUACUUUUAAUCUAAUUAGUCACAUUUUAAAAUUUCAUUGUCCAUCUUUGCAUUUCAAUUCCUUUCAUCUAUUCAGGUUUGAUAAUAACAGAAUGAGAAUUUUUUUCUGUGUAUUUUGCUUUGUGACUUUGCCAUCUGUCUCUCACUCAUAGUAAUUUGUUUUCCUUUCAUGUCUGACUGUGAAGUUAUAUUUUUUAGAAGUUUAUCUGUGAAAAUUCUUUGAGUUCUAGGAGGAAAAUGGGUUCCUCUAGAGUGUCCUAAAAUUUGCUUAUUUCAGGAAUGUGUGUCAUUAGUCUAGGUUACUGUAUUAAAUUCUUCACCUAAAGUUUUGUGGACCACCCAUGUAGCCUGCAUUUUCAUUCCAAAUCUGCUUUGAGGGAAUAUUUUGGGACUAGGAAUUCUGUAGGAAGAUUUUUCCCCUCUCUCUUUACUGUCAAAUUCGAGACAAGCAACUUUCCUUGUAGUACUUUUGAGGAGGGGAUGGUUUAUUUUGAAUUCACUCCUGUAAUGAAAUUGCAGGACCACAGGCUUUGUUUGCUGUUCUCAAGGCCCUUGGGGCCUUAAAGAUCAAAGUUUAAGUUCACCUCCUUCAUCAAAUGACCUCAAGAUACAAGGCAAAUAAUGUGCCCAGAAACUUAUCUUGGUUCUGUCCACAAAAAAACAAACAUACAAACAAAUAAAUAAAUAACACAAUGUGAAAGUUGUGAGUUAACGUAUUUGGGGCAAAAUGAGGACUCAGCUAUAGCUAUCUCAGAUAGCUCUGUGGUACCGCCUCCAAAGAGGUAAGGGGAAAGAUCAGUACUAUAUAUGAUUUUAGUGAAGGGGUUUAUGUGUGAUCAAGCGCAUGUUUUGACAGAGGCUUGCUGCUAUGCAUGAGGAGCAGAUGUCACCAUUAAUGAUUUUAGUGCUUUGCUAGAUAUGAGAACAUGCAAGAAUUUGGGUGCAUAAAAUCUUCUCCUGAAUAUAUCUAACUACCUGAAGCCUGUUCUGCCAGUUUUUCCCAGAGCACAGAGUGCCUCAUUCCUGAUCUCCACCCUGAACUUCUUUCAAGGUGUGAUGAAGGUCACCCGCUGCAAUGACUAGUGACUUAAUCCUUGUGGAGGCAGAUGGCAAGUGUCAAUUUUUAGUCGACAGUUCAUUCCUUCACUUAAUGUUCUUUAAAGUUUAUCAAUGCAUUUAAGCAAAUGUAUGAUGUUUGGCUGUUUUCAGUAGAACCAUCAGUUACUAUGCUUAGGUUAACUUUCAAUUUUAUAUGCAUUAUUAUUAUUUAUAAUUCUUAUAAACAUCAACAAGAAGACUUUUUGAGUGAAUGAGGUUUUUAAAACCCUGGUUAUGUUAAUUUGGGCCUUCCUUAAGUGUCUAGGAAAAUGAUUUUUACAGAAUGCACAUAUGUGGUAAUUGGUUUUAUUAUUUUAAAAAUCCGCUUUAACAGUUGAUUUUAGAAUACUCUCUUUGGAUUUUUAUUACAAAGUGAUAAUUAUUAAAAAAAAUACUCUUCACCUGCAGUAUACCUUAUUUAUGGAAUUAUUUCUGUUUAGGAUAUAAAUGGAUAACCAGCUUUUUUGCCUCUUAUGCAGUAAAAUAGCAAUUUAAUGUCUCAGACUCUGUAUACAUGUAAAAAGAUAACUCAUGUAUAUAGGCUGUUAUAUUAAGAAAAAGCAAUGAAUGUGCCCCCUCCGUCUCACAUCUGUGUCUUUUGUAAUGCCCUCACACAGUGAGUCUGGGUUUGGUCAUAUCGAAGUUUUGAUCAGUGAGGCAUUUGCCAAAGUGAUGCAGAGACUUGACACAUUCGUGUACUUCCGCACUGAGGCUCACCCUCCCAGAAUUCUCCCACUUGGAACUCAGGAGCCAUUUUAUAAGUCAGUACUGCCUCUACUGCUGGAGGCAGGUCUUAUGAAGAGGCCCUGGAGAAGGCAGCAUCACAGGAAGAGCUGGCAGCUGGAAGAAUAGCUGAGUUGACUGGAGCAGUCAACUCCAAGGACCAUGGACAGAUAGAAGAGAGACCAUCUUGGAUCUUCCAGCCCAGCCUGUCUAGAUGAACACAACCUCAGAGUGAACCCAUUGGAUCAGAAAAAGAGCCCUGUCAACUUCAGAAACAUGAAAAUAGUAUAUCCCUGUUGUUUUAAGCUGCUAAGUUUUAGAAUGGUGUAUUAUUCCAGCAGCUUUAUAUAAGAAACAUCACAUAAGAUAUUUAAUUCAGACCUGGGUACUGAGGAAUUUUGCUUUCUCAUGUAAAUGUAUUACACUAAAAGCCAAAAUAAGUAUACAUUUCUUUCAUUCUACAAUAUACUCAAUUUCCAAAGUACUUUGAAAUCUUUACUAAAGUAUAAACUUGAGACCUUUUUCAUACCAUCCCUCUCUUACCAAAAUCUUAUUUGUAAUGAAAUCAUUUAACAAAACGCAAAUAAUUCCAUUAUUAUUUAAAUCUAUUUUAAGUGAAAUGCUAUGUAAAUCUUUGCUUUAACUGCUAAGAGCUGUCAUUACAGGAUUUAUAGUCUAUAUUGAUUAAUAAUACCAGGCUGUGUUUCACACUCCUUAAUGAAAUUUUGACCUUAUUUGCUCUUAAAAAUACCUCCUCUCUCAAAAGCUGUUAUUCUGCUGAAUGUUUUUUCAAAUGCUUGAGGAGUCAUACUGUGUAAUAUUGGCUAUACUUCACAGUGUGCAACAUUAUAUUCCAUGUGUGUUUUACUAUUAAGUGAUUUUAUUUUGUAGUCUUGCUAGUACCAUCAUAUAAUUAAAUUGUAAGCUCAUGUGGUGUAAAGGUCAGAUACAUUAAAUGUACAAAAGCACAUGCAAUGUGUGUUUAGGCUUCUACUUUUUGCACACUGACAUCAGCUUAGUAAGGAAUGAAAAAAAUCACAUAUGUUACAAUUGAAACUUCUGGUCUUUGGAAUAAGAUUUUCUAGCAUCCUGUUGUUAAAAAAAAAAAAGAAAACUUAAUAGAAAUUCUUUUAAAAUAUUCUGUAUUUUCUUGGAAUACUUGUCGAGAACACACAUUCUUGUUGGAUAUUUUCAACCUAGUUAUGAACAAGACUGAUCAGUCUAGUUUUUGGCUGCUUUAUUUUUUCUUAGCAAUUUCUCCUGUAAAUACAUCUUGAUUUUUUGCUUUAUGGUUGCUUUCACAGUAAAAAUAUACUAUAACUUUCUUUCUGAUGGUCAUAAAUUUGGAAGAUUGUAUCUGACCUAUUCUUUGUAUUUUAGAGUUUUUUUAAGUGGACCCAAUAAUUUCAAACCAUUUCUCUUUUUUUUCUUUUUAUGGAUGCACUUGAAGCAUAUGGAAGUUCCCACACUAGGGGUCAAAUCAGAGCUGUAGCUGCAGUCUGUGCCACAGCCAAAGC